rnacentral:rRNA from 1 species
CUAACACAUGCAAGUCGAACGAAGUAGCAAUACUUAGUGGCAGACGGGUGAGUAACAUGUAGGUAUCUACCCUUUGGCCUGGAAUAACACGAGGAAACUUGUGCUAAUACCGGAUAAGUCUUUACGGAGAAAGCUUUAUGCACCAUUGGAUGAGCCUGCACUUGAUUAGUUUGUUGGUGGGGUAAUGGCCUACCAAGACUGUGAUCAAUAGCUGAUUUGAGAGGAUGAUCAGCCACAUUGGGACUGAGACACGGCCCAAACUCCUACGGGAGGCAGCAGUGGGGAAUCUUGCACAAUGGAGGAAACUCUGAUGCAGCGAUGCCGCGUGAGUGAAGAAGGCCCUUGGGUUGUAAAGCUCUUUCGUCGGGGAAGAAAAUGACUGUACCCGAAUAAGAAGGUCCGGCUAACUUCGUGCCAGCAGCCGCGGUAAUACGAAGGGACCUAGCGUAGUUCGGAAUUACUGGGCUUAAAGAGUUCGUAGGUGGUUGAAAAAGUUA